UUUACCAACUCGUUGGAAUAAGCAGCAAGACUGUUAGUCUGGCGGUAUAACAAAACAUUUUAACAAUUUGACCUCAAAUCAGGUGAGACUACCCGCUGAACUUAAGCAUAUCAAUAAGCGGAGGAAAAGAAACCAACAGGGAUUGCCUUAGUAACGGCGAGUGAAGCGGCAAAAGCUCAAAUUUGAAAUCUGGCGUCUUUGGCGUCCGAGUUGUAAUUUGAAGAAGGUAUCUUUGAGGUUGGCCCUUGCAUAAGUUCCUUGGAACAGGACGUCAUAGAGGGUGAGAAUCCCGUUUAUGGUGAGGUGCCCAACUUCUUGUAAAGUGCUUUCGAAGAGUCGAGUUGUUUGGGAAUGCAGCUCUAAGUGGGUGGUAAAUUCCAUCUAAAGCUAAAUAUUGGCGAGAGACCGAUAGCGAACAAGUACAGUGAUGGAAAGAUGAAAAGAACUUUGAAAAGAGAGUGAAAAAGUACGUGAAAUUGUUGAAAGGGAAGGGCAUGAGAUCAGACUUGGUAUUCAGUGAUCAACUUUCUUUCGGGAUUGUGCACUCGCUGUUUACUGGGCCAAUAUCAGUUUUGGCGGUAGGAUAAUGGCAUUGGAAUGUGGCUCCUACGGAGUGUUAUAGCCUUUGUUGAUACUACCUGCUGGGACUGAGGACAGCGCGUUGCUAGGAUAUGGCC
rnacentral:rRNA from 1 species